rnacentral:rRNA from 1 species
CCUACGGGUGGCAGCAGUGGGGAAUAUUGCACAAUGGGGGAAACACUGAUGCAGCAACGCCGCGUGAAGGAAGACGGUAUUCGGAUUGUAAACUUCUGUUCUUAGUAAAGAAGAAUGACGGUAGCUAAGGAGCAAGCCACGGCUAACUAAGUACCAGCAGCCGCGGUAAUACGUAGGUGGCAAGCGUUGUCCGGAAUUACUGGGGGGAAAGGGAGCGCAGGGGGGAAGCCAAGUCAGCUGUGAAAACUACGGGCUUAACUUGUAGACUGCAGUUGAAACUGGUUUUCUUGAGUGAAGUAGAGGUUGGCGGAAUUCCCGGUGUAGCGGUGAAAUGCGUAGAUAUUCGGAGGAACACCGGUGGCGAAGGCGGCCAACUGGGCUUUAACUGACGCUGAGGCUCGAAAGUGUGGGGAGCAAACAGGAUUAGAUACCCGGGUAGUC